AAAUAUUGGGACAUAUAAAAAAGGACAACUCUGUUCUGCAGAGUAGCUGUGACAUUAUAGUUGCGCAGGAACUUUGUUGACUCUAGAGAACCUCGGGCAAAUCGCACAUCCCCGUGGCGGCGACUUUGCAUGCGGAUGUCAUCCAUAUCAACUUUCUAUGCCAGUUUCUGUGCCUACCAUGGUGACCACGGGUUACGGGGAAUCAGGGUUCUAUUCUGUACAGGGACCCUGAGAAACGGCUACCACAUGCAAGGAAGGCAGCAGGCGCGCAAAUGACCCACUCCAGACGCGGGAAGGUAGUGAU